rnacentral:rRNA from 1 species
GAAAAGGGGGGGGGGGGGGAGGGGGGAUUUUUAAAACCGGCGGCGGGGGGGGGGGGAGACCUUUCUCCCCCCGGUGGGGGGGUAAAAAAAAAAAAAAAAAAAUCUCCACAGGAGAAAAAAUAUUUUAUAGUUUAAAAUUCUUUUUUUUUUUUUUCCCCCUUCGGGGGGGGAAAAAAGAUUUUUUUUUUCUUUUUUUGAGGGGGGGCCCCCCCUUUAAGAAUUUAAGCUUUGUUUGGUGAGAGGGUAAAGGGGUUCCCCCCAAGGGUUUUUGUUUCUGUAAGCUGGGUUUUAAGGGGGAUGAUUCAGGCCCCCAUUGGGGGAUUGAGGACCCCGGGCCCAGGACUUCUUCCGGGGAGGGCAGGCAGUGGGGGGAUUUUUUGGACAAAGGGGGGGAAACCCUUGUUCCCAGCAAUUUCCGGGUGAUUGAAGGAAGGCCUUUAGGGGUUUUUAAAAUUCUUUUUAGUUAAGGAAGAAUGAUGGCCGGUAUUUACAGAAAAAAGCUCCGGGCUAACUCCGUGCCCAGCAGCCGCGGGUAAUCCGGAGGGGGGCAAGCGUUGUUCCGGAUUUCUGGGGCGUAAAGAGCGAGCAGGUGGUUCAUUAAGUCGAUUGUGAAAGCUCAAGGCUCAACCUUGAAAUUGCUUUUGAUACUGAUGGACUAGAGUUUGGGAGAGGAUAGUGGAAUUCUAAGUGUAGAAGUGAAAUUCGUAGAUAUUUAGAGGAACACCAAUAGCGAAGGCAGCUAUCUGGCCCUUUACUGACACUCAGAAGCGAAAGCUUGGGUAGCAAACAGGAUUAGAUACCCUGGUAGUCCAUGCUGUAAACGAUGAGUGCUAGAUGUUAGAAGUUUACUUCUAGUAUCGAAGCUAACGCGUUAAGCACUCCGCCUGGGGAGUACGGCCGCAAGGCUAAAACUCAAAUGAAUUGACGGGGACCCGCACAAGCAGUGGAGCAUGUGGUUUAAUUCGACGCUACGCGAAAAACCUUACCAGCUUUUGACACGCUAAGUUUUGAGUUUAAGAGAUUAAAUUCUUCAGUUUGGCUGGGCUUAGUACAGGUGCUGCAUGGCUGUCGUCAGCUCGUGUCGUGAGAUGUUCGGUUAAGUCCGGCAACGAGCGCAACCCUCAUCUUCAGUUACUAACAGGUUAUGCUGAGAACUCUGGAGAAACUGCCGUUGGAAAAGCGGAGGAAGGCGAGGAUGACGUCAAGUCCUCAUGGCCCUUAUGGGCUGGGCUACACACGUGCUACAAUGGUAAUUACAAUAGGUCGCGAAAAGGCAACUUUGAGCUAAUCUUCAAAAAUUAUCUUAGUUCCGAUUAUGGUCUGAAACUCGAGAGCAUGAAGUUGGAAUUGCUAGUAAUCGUGGAUCAGCAUGCCUUUGGGAUUCGCCCCC